UCGACGAUCGUUCGUCACUUGGCAAAGAUUGAUAAAGCAAGGAAGAUGAAUAAGCCUGUUCCGCGUGAGUUGAGCGACGUCCAAAAGCUUAGACGAAUGGAAAUAACCGUUGUGUAACUUGAAGAAAACAAACAAUAUCAAUUUUCGAAACAAAUCGUCACUUUGGAUGAAAAAUUAAUUUUACGCAUCGAAAAUAACCGAGCCACGUUUAUUUACGUCGGGGACACUUCAAUGACAAUUGGUAGUGAAAGUAGGCGGUUAUUUUGGGGACACCAUGACAGAAUGACCGUGUCGUUUCGUUCGAGGAAGACGGUGUUUUUGUCCGCGGUCGGGACAACGGCUGCAACAACACAGAGCCAGGCUAAAAGUACGAAGAGAGUGUGGCGCCAAAGAGGACCCGAGGGCUCGGUAAGGUUAGCGACCUUGGCGUACAUGGUAAAGGACAGACCGUGCCGAGGGGCGCCCCGCGUGCAUUCAUCAUUGCUAUCCGGCAAUCAGUGCCAAGCAACAUUAUCGGUCAAUUUACCGUCGCCGUGACCGGUCUCGCAAACGUGAAAAAGCAAAUCUCGUUACAUAGGCCGUGAAAAACAUUUAGACGACAUUUGGCUCUAUUACAUUACGCUUAGUUACGACCCUGAUUACACAACGACCAGAGGACUAGGUUAGGAACUAGGCGAUUCAUCGGAGGAUUGAAUUUGGACACAAUUUUCAAUUCAACUAAGCGUAAACCGAAAAGCUAAUAUGGUAAAAAUAUUGAAAUACUUUACUUGAUUUCACGUGGUAAGUGAUUUAUCUAUUAAAAACAAACAGAAGUGAUUCUACGGGAAUAACGUUUGAAUGGGUACGCGCGUCACGUGACCGAACAUGAUCAAGAAGAUUGAUGGAACGAUUGAAACGACGAUGUCCAGGAGACAACAUGGCAGGAGGUCGAUAAAUACACCCUGAAUUCAUUACUCGAUAAAAGGAAAGAGGUGGUGGAAGAUUGUCGUACCCGAAUUAAUCUCGUAUUAAAUAAUGCCGUUUGUUGGCACGGCGUGGCGCUUUAUAACAUCAGCAGUCGUAACAUAUAAAUUAUACGCGCCGCGUUUAUAACUUAUACGGCCGGGUUAUAAGUUAUAAAGGCGUCGUACAGUCUAUGAGUUAUAACCACCGCGAUGGUAAUUUAUAAGUAACAACUGCCGAAGUUAUAACGCCCGAGGUACCUCGAGACCUGGCUACCCCGACGCUAUGAUAUUUGUUCGCGACGGUUGCGAAUAGAACGUAAAUUUUCAUAGGCGGGAGGAGGGGUGCGUUCAAAGUCUCGUGAUAUUUAGAUAUUGUGCGGAGUCGUAAACGAAACUUCAUUCCCUCCUUACGGUUCGUUUUAGUGAGACUUUUUAGCGCAGAGUGCGUAACUUAACCUAUAAACGAAACAUAAAACCGACAUAAGGAAAUCUAGAACAGUAAGUCACUGUUUACAUCGCGCAUAGAGACAGAUAUUCUUAAAUGACAGUCGCUAAAACACUUGCGCACAGAUUUUUGUUGCAGUGUAUAUUUUAUUUGGUAGUUUAUCAAAUUAGAAUAUCUGGCACCUCGUGUUUCUAGACUGUAACCAAAGUAUUUGUAUCAUUGAAAUCAUUGUGUUUUAGUGAAAGCUAAAGUAUAACAUAUGAAGGGCGUGGCUUGAGGUCAUGGUGGUGGAGGAAGGUGUGACCAAGAGGCGUGGCUUAGAGUGGUGGGGGACGACUCCUCAGUGUCCUCAAACGGCCACUCGAUUAUGAUCCGACUUACAAAGUCCCUAGGAGUCCCUGUAUCUUCCGAACGUUCAUUUCAAACCUCCCAGCGUGUAGUUCGAAGGUAUCUCGUACACGCUACACGUGAAACGCAUCGACUGAAGUUCAACUCGCCUAUAAAUAUGGACGACCAUUGAUGACCCUCGCCAAGAAAAGUGCGAAGUUCACGCGGUCGGACCUGUGCACACGCAUAAAUCGCUUUGCCCGGUUCGGUGCAUUCCUCCAGAGGCAGCCGCACGUGCGUUCGCACGCGUGUAAAGCGAGAGACCUCCGCAGACAUCGGCGAUGCCACGAGAAACAGGGAAUCCUGAGAAAGACGAGAAGAGGAGGGGCGAACGUGGAAGGGGCCAGGAGGAGGGAGGGCCCACGUGGAAUAUCCAGUGCAGCAUAUAAAAGCCCGUUAUGCUCGGGACUGGCUGUGUUGGCGCGGUGCAUAGGCGCAUGUGCAUUAGUAUGGCGCACGCUAUAAAUAGAUGUAGCAGACC